rnacentral:rRNA from 1 species
CGGGAGAAGGCACGCUGAUAUGUAGGUGAAGUGGUUUACCCAUGGAGCUGAAAUCAGUCGAAGAUACCAGCUGGCUGCAACUGUUUAUUAAAAACACAGCACUGUGCAAACACGAAAGUGGACGUAUACGGUGUGACGCCUGCCCGGUGCCGGAAGGUUAAUUGAUGGGGUUAUCCGUAAGGAGAAGCUCUUGAUCGAAGCCCCGGUAAACGGCGGCCGUAACUAUAACGGUCCUAAGGUAGCGAAAUUCCUUGUCGGGUAAGUUCCGACCUGCACGAAUGGCGUAAUGAUGGCCAGGCUGUCUCCACCCGAGACUCAGUGAAAUUGAACUCGCUGUGAAGAUGCAGUGUACCCGCGGCAAGACGGAAAGACCCCGUGAACCUUUACUAUAGCUUGACACUGAACACUGGUCCUUGAUGUGCAGGAUAGGUGGGAGGCUUUGAAGCGCGGACGCCAGUUCGUGUGGAGCCAUCCUUGAAAUACCACCCUUUAAUGGCUGGUGUUCUAACGUAGACCCGUGAUCCGGGUUGCGGACAGUGUCUGGUGGGUAGUUUGACUGGGGCGGUCUCCUCCUAAAGAGUAACGGAGGAGCACGAAGGUUAGCUAAUCCUGGUCGGACAUCAGGAGGUUAGUGCAAAGGCAUAAGCUAGCUUGACUGCGAGCGUGACGGCGCGAGCAGGUGCGAAAGCAGGUC